AGAACCAUGGGAAAACUGGAAAGCUUUUCUUUUCUUUUGUUAGAAGUUUGGUACAAGUGAUCUUGAAGACCUCUGAAGAAUAAGGAUCGUGUCUAUGAAGGACUUGGGAAGAAAAAAGGUUGGAAAAGGAAGGUAAAGAGGGGGCGCCUGGAGUUGAACCAGGGACCUCUUGAUCUGCAGUCAAAUGCUCUGCCACUGAGCUACACCCCCUGCUGCAGCACCUGGCCAAGGAGCACUAAAAACACGCACAGAGACCACUUAUGUCUGCUGUUACAGUUCCUAUAGAUCAGCUUUCUUUGAUUCCUAAUUCACAUGAUAAGCAAUUACAGACGGUGAGAAUUGCACUGUGCAUUUGCAUUAACAACAAAAAAAGCAAUACUGAUGCAAAUAUUCA